GUUUCAAAUAAUUUUUCAAAUAAUAAUUUAUUCUCAAAUAUAUAUCUUAAGUUUUUACCAUUAGAUAUCAUCCAACGAUUAAAAAUAAAAGUAUCUGUCACUUUUCUUGACAAAAAUACCCUCAAUAUCCGUUAUCUCCUACCUACGCAUUUUACAAAUAUGUACGUGUUUUCUCAAACGUAAUUCCCGCCAUAACUUAAAAUAUCCGUUAUCUCCUAUAUUUUUUUUCUCACACGUAAUACGUGAGCCAAUCACGUAGAAUAUUGUUAGAAAGAUUUAAUACCCAUCUAAGCAAAACUAAAAUAUUAAUUAAAUAUAAUUUUAAAAUUUUGAAUUUUUUAGUAAAAUAUUCAAAAAUAAUACCCGCCAAAAUAUUUUACGUGUUUCUUAAAUACAGAAUAUAUCUUAAUACACUCGCAUAUAAUAUUGCUAGAAAGAUUUAAUAUCCACCUAAUCAAAACUAAAUUGUUAAUUAAAUAUAAUUUUAAAUUUUUAAAUAUUUUUAAUAAAAUAUUCAAAAAUAAUACCCACAAAAAUCUUUUACGUUUCUCAAAUAUAGAGCAUAUCUUAAUGCACACGCAUAUAAUAUCUACAUAUCUUUACAUAUAAUAUCUAUACUAUAUAUCCAAUCUUAUUUCAUUAUAAUAUUUAUUCACACACAGAAUAUAUUUUUUUAGUAAUAUCUUUUUUAUUUUCACCUAUAUUUUUUUAAGUUGUCCCCUAUCAAGAUGAUUCU
rnacentral:lncRNA from 1 species